GAUGAAGAACGUAGCGAAAUGCGAUACUUGGUGUGAAUUGCAGAAUCCCGUGAACCAUCGAGUCGUUGAACGCAAGUUGCGCCCGAAGCCAUUAGGCCGAGGGCACGCCUGCCUGGGCGUCACACGUCGUUGCCCCCCCAUCUACUCCUUCGGGAUUGCGGGGGGCGGAUGAUGGCCUCCCGUGCGCCUCGCCGCGCGGUUGGCAUAAAUGCCAAGUCCUCGGCGACGCACGCCACGACAAUCGGUGGUUGCGAAACCUCGGUUGCCCGUCGUGUGCGGUCGUCGCGCAUCGAGGGCUCGAAAAAAUUGCCGGGUUCCGGCUCGGCUUUCAACGCGACCCCAGGUCAGGCGGGGUUACCCGCUGAAUUUAAGCAUAUCAAUAAGCGGAGGA
rnacentral:misc_RNA from 1 species